UAGGUGAAGUGGUUUACCCAUGGAGCUGAAGCCAGUCGCAGAUACCAGCUGGCUGCAACUGUUUAUUAAAAACACAGCACUGUGCAAACACGAAAGUGGACGUAUACGGUGUGACGCCUGCCCGGUGCUGGAAGGUUAAUUGAUGGGGUUAUCCGUAAGGAGAAGCUCUUGAUCGAAGCCCCAGUAAACGGCGGCCGUAACUAUAACGGUCCUAAGGUAGCGAAAUUCCUUGUCGGGUAAGUUCCGACCUGCACGAAUGGCGUAAUGAUGGCCAGGCUGUCUCCACCCGAGACUCAGUGAAAUUGAACUCGCUGUGAAGAUGCAGUGUACCCGCGGCAAGACGGAAAGACCCCGUGAACCUUUACUAUAGCUUGACACUGAACAUUGAGCCUUGAUGUGUAGGAUAGGUGGGAGGCUUUGAAGUGUGGACGCCAGUCUGCAUGGAGCCAACCUUGAAAUACCACCCUUUAAUGUUUGAUGUUCUAACGU
rnacentral:rRNA from 1 species